AUGCGUGAUCUCAAACACGCGGCUGGAGCUUGGGUCGACGAACUUCCAUCUGUACUCUGGGGACUGCGGACCACGCCCAAUCGGUCGACUGGAAGAACUCCAUUCUUCUUGGUCUAUGGAGCUGAAGCAGUCUUGCCGAGUGACCUUCUGCAUAAUGCUCCUCGAGUCGAAAUCUAUAACGAAGCAGAAGCUGAACAAGCGCGGCAGGACGCAGUCGACCUUUUGGAGGAAGAAAGGGAGAUGGCUCUGAUCCGCUCGACCAUCUACCAACAAGAUCUGCGCCGUUUCCACGCCCGAAAUGUGAGAGGUCGAGCCUUCCAGGAAGGAGAUCUGGUUCUCCGAGUGGAUCAGCACAAACCACACAAGCUUGCUCCUUCUUGGGAAGGCCCCUUCAUCGUCACUAAGGUUCUCCACAACGGGGCGUACCGUCUUUACAACGUCGAGCAUAAUAUCGACGAGCCCCGAGCCUGGAACGCGGAGCUACUCCGCCCAUUUUACACUUAA
rnacentral:rRNA from 1 species